GAGUUUGAUCCUGGCUCAGGAUGAACGCUGGCGGCGCGCCUAACACAUGCAAGUCGAACGAGGUAACAAAAGAGCUUGCUCUUUUGUUACCUAGUGGCGGACGGGUGAGUAACACGUGAGCAACCUGCCAAGAAGUGGGGGAUAACGUCUGGAAACGGACGGUAAUACCGCAUAUAAUGCCGGGGGGGCCUCCCCCUGGUAUGAAAGGAGCAAUCCGCUUUUUGAUGGGCUCGCGCCCGAUUAGGUAGUUGGUAGGGUAAUGGCCUACCAAGCCGACGAUCGGUAGCCGGACUGAGAGGUUGAACGGCCACAUUGGGACUGAGACACGGCCCAGACUCCUACGGGAGGCAGCAGUGGGGGAUAUUGCACAAUGGGGGAAACCCUGAUGCAGCGACGCCGCGUGAGUGAAGACGGUCUUCGGAUUGUAAAGCUCUGUCUUCAGGGACGAUAAUGACGGUACCUGAGGAGGAAGCCACGGCUAACUACGUGCCAGCAGCCGCGGUAAUACGUAGGUGGCAAGCGUUAUCCGGAAUUACUGGGUGUAAAGGGAGCGCA
rnacentral:rRNA from 1 species